GGUGGCUCAGUGAUAGAGUACUUGCCUUGCAUGCAUGAGGCCCUGGGUUUGAUUCUCAGCACCA
rnacentral:tRNA from 1 species